GUAGGGAAUAUUGCGCAAUGGACGAAAGUCUGACGCAGCGACGCCGCGUGAGUGAUGAAGGCCUUAGGGUCGUAAAGCUCUGUUGAAUGGGAAGAAAAAAAUGACGGUACCAUUCGAGGAAGGACCGGCUAACUUCGUGCCAGCAGCCGCGGUAAUACGAGGGGUCCUAGCGUUGUUCGGAAUCAUUGGGCGUAAAGGGUGUGUAGGUGGCCAUGUAAGUCAGGUGUGAAAGCCCCGGGCUCAACCCGGGAAGUGCACUUGAUACUGCGUGGCUUGAGUACCGAAGAGGGUAGUGGAAUUCCAGGUGUAGUGGUGAAAUACGUAGAUAGCUGGAGGAACACCGGUGGCGAAGGCGGCUACCUGGUCGAGUACUGACACUGAGACACGAAAGCAUGGGGAUCAAACAGGAUUAGAAACCCUGGUAGUCC
rnacentral:rRNA from 1 species